rnacentral:tRNA from 1 species
GGGUAUUUAGCUCAGUGGUAGAGCGCAUGCUUAGUAUACGCUGUGUCCUGGGUUCAGUCCCCAGUAUCUUCA